rnacentral:rRNA from 1 species
ACGAACGCUGGCGGCAUGCUUAACAACAUGGCAAGUCGAAACGCUCCGGUUUUCGGCCGGGGGAGUGGCGCACGGGUGAGUAGCGCGUGGGAACCUGCCCAGCAGUGGGGGGAUAACCGGGGGGAAACUCCGGCUAAUAACCGCAUGCGCCCGGUGGCAAACAUCGGGGGAAAGAUUUAUCGCUGUUGGAGGGGCCCGCGUCGGAUUAGGUAGUUUGGUGGGGGUAACGGCCUACCAAGCCUGUGAUCCGUAGCUGGUCUGAGAGGAUGAUCAGCCAACACUGGGACUGAGACAACGGCCCAGACUCCUACGGGAGGGCAGCAGUUGGGGAAUAUUGGACAAUGGGGGCAACCCUGAUCCAGCAAUGCCGCGUGAGUGAGGAAGGCCUUAGGGUUGUAAAGCUCUUUCAACCCCGCGACGAUGAUGACGGUAGGCGGGAGAAGAAGCCCCGGCUAACUUCGUGCCAGCCAGCCGCGGUAAUACGAAGGGGGCGAGCGUUGUUCGGAUUUACUGGGCCGUAAAGGGCGCGCGCAGGCGGCGGAUCAAGUUCAGGCGUGAAAGCCCCCGGGCCUCAACACCUGGGAAUUGCGUCUGGGACUGGUCCUGCCUAGAGUUUCGGGAGAGGAGCGUGGAAUUCCCAGUGUAGAGGGUGAAAUUCGUAAGAUAUUGGGAAGAACACCGGUGGCGAAGGCGGCGCUCUGGACCGAGACUGACGCUGAGGCGCGAAAAGCGUGGGGAGCAAACAGGAUUAGAUACCCUGGUAGUCCACGCUGUAAACGAUGUGUGCUAGGACGUUGGGGAGCCUAGCUCUUCGGUGUCGCAAGCCUAACGCGGUAAGCACACCGCCUGGGGAGUACGGGCCCGCAAGGUUAAAACUCAAAGGAAUUUGACGGGGGCCCGCACAAGCGGUGGAGCAUGUGGUUUAAUUCGACGCAACGCGAAGAAACCUUACCAGCCCUUGACCAUUGCCCGGUAUGGGCCCGAGAGAUCGGGUUCUUCAGUUCGGCUGGCCGGGACACAGGUGCUGCAUGGCUGUCGUCAGCCUCGUGGUCGUGAGAUGUUGAGUUAAGUCCCGCAACGAGGCGCAACCCCCAUCUUGCAGUUGCCAGCAGUUCGGCUGGGCACUCUGCAGAAACUGCCGGUUGACAGGCCGGAGGAAGGCGGGGAUGACGUCCAAGUCCUCAUGGCCCUUAUGGGCUGGGCUACACACGUGCUACAAUGGCGGUGACAGAGGGGCGGCGGGCGCGCCGAGCGUGAGCCAAUCUCGAAAAGGCCGUCUCAGUUCGGAUUGGCUCGCUGCAAACUCGCGAGCAUGAAGUCGGAAUCGCCUAGGUAAUCGCGGAUCUGCAUGCCGCGGUGAAUACGUUCCCGGGCCUUGUACACACCGCCCGUCACACCAUGGGAGUUGGUUUAUUACACCCGAAGCCGGUGCGGCAACCCGCAAGGGGAAGCUAGCCGACCACGGUAAGGUCAGCGACUGGGGUG